AUGACAUGGGCAUUACCAGCCAACCUGGCCACCGACAUGGAACAGAAGCCACGACGGCACAUGCCAACGGAUGGCCACACGCGCAAGCAACCGACAGCUCUGACUUUGACGACGAGCAACACAGGGGAAAUAUGCAGGAUUUGCGCCGAUCGUGCUGAAAAGAGCACCCGGGAAGAACCGACUACCGAAGACCAUGCCGCGACCCAACAUCCUCUCGACGCCAUCAUCGUUGCCAAACAGAAACCAACGCCUCGCCUCAGCAAACCACGCGGCCAAGAUGCCGCCAUCGAUGGCGAAGAUGCCAUCAUCCUCCAUUCUCCUAGUCGUAGUCGGCUCCGAGACGAUGCCCCCAAGGAGGAGAAAGACGCGAAGACGCCUCCAUCGCCUGAUCCAACGGAUCUGAGGUUUCCCUUCGAUGCCCAAGCCGUGGGGAGAAAGAGCAACUCCACGGCGACGCUUCCAAGAAAGAUCAUGACACCCGCGGGCAUCGCCGUUGCCGGCUCCGGUGAAGACCGGAGCAAGGAUUUCUCCCGGAGAUGUGCCGACCACCUGCCACCACUGACCGCCGCCCACUGA
rnacentral:rRNA from 1 species